GACGAACGCUGGCGGCGUGCUUAACACAUGCAAGUCGAACGGAAAGGCCCUGCUUUUGUGGGGUGCUCGAGUGGCGAACGGGUGAGUAACACGUGAGUAACCUGCCCUUGACUUUGGGAUAACUUCAGGAAACUGGGGCUAAUACCGGAUAGGAGCUCCUGCUGCAUGGUGGGGGUUGGAAAGUUUCGGCGGUUGGGGAUGGACUCGCGGCUUAUCAGCUUGUUGGUGGGGUAGUGGCUUACCAAGGCUUUGACGGGUAGCCGGCCUGAGAGGGUGACCGGCCACAUUGGGACUGAGAUACGGCCCAGACGCCUACGGGAGGCAGCAGUGGGGAAUAUUGCACAAUGAGCGGAAGCCUGAUGCAGCAACGCCGCGUGCGGGAUGACGGCCUUCGGGUUGUAAACCGCUGUCGCCGGUGACGAAGCGUGAGUGACGGUAAUGGGUAAAGAAGCACCGGCUAACUACGUG
rnacentral:rRNA from 1 species